AUGCCGCACGCGCGCUCCGAUCUGGGCUUGGAUGAUUCGCCAGCAGAGUCGUCGAGCUUCCGCAGCCCCAGCUCUUUCCCCAGAACGAAGCGUACAAAGUGGUCUGACAGGGAGCCGCUUGAUUGUUCCGUGUCGGCCUGCAGUGGUGCACGCGUGAACAUGCUUGACCGGUGUUCGGAGAGGCGGCAGAUUGCUUCCUGUAGUGGCGACCAACCGCAGAGCUCUGGCAUGUUUGUUGCCAUGCAGGGGAAUGUUUGUCCUGUCAAUAACGGCGGUGGGAUCUAUUCGCAGUCUGGCACGGGCCAUUCAAAUGGUCAAAAUGGGACAUACGGUGCAUAUCCGCAACAUCAGCCUUUUGAAGGCUGUAUGUAUGUGAAUGAGCAUGGCCAGAUGUGUGGGCCUUACGCACCCAAGCAGCUCUAUGAGGGGCUAUCCAGUGGUUUCUUGCCUCAAGAUCUUGCUAUUUAUGCUCUUGUUGGUGGGCAAAUGCUCAAUCCUGUAGCCUUGAGUUCUCUGGAGCAGUUUCUUUCACAAUGGAAUUCUGCUGGCGCGGUCACCACUCCGAAUGAACCGAAGGAGAAUAAGACAGUGGCUCGUACUGAUAAACUGGCGCUUCCAAAUGCUCUCUCAAGCGAUGAGUCAUGCUGGAUGUUCGAGGACAGCGAUGGCAGCCGUCAUGGGCCACAUUCUCUUGCUGAACUUUCUUAUUGGCUUCAUAGCAGCUAUCUCCAGGAUCUUUCUAUGGUUUACCAUGUUGAUAGCAAAUUUGGUCCAUUUACACUUGUAUCAUUAGUUGAUUGGUGGAGUGGAGGUCACACAGAGCAUUCAGAAGCUUCAGAGAAUGAUUCUGGGUCAGCCAGUGACGUGAUGGGUGACAUAGUCGAUGAUAUUAGUCAUCAGCUCCAUGCCGGUAUAGUGAAAUCAGCCCGCAAGAUUUUUGUUGAUGAAAUUUUCAGCUGUGUGCUUCCAGAAAUUAUCGCCUGUAGGAAGACUGAGAAGCAGCUAGCUGCAAAAUCGAAACUCCUAGCUGUUAAGCCUGACAGCAAGAAGGCUUCAGCAUUAAAGGGCAAGGCUCAUGCAAAAUUUACUAAUCACAAAAAAGGAAACUCAUAUAAUACAGUACGAGCAACUUCUCCUGUGGCUGUUCAGUCAACUGCGGUGCAUGCCAAAUUUUCUGAUAUAUUAUCAGCAGUUUGGCAAACUCUUUAUUAUGAAUCCAUGAAGAAUAUCUGGGAUGGGAUAUUGUAUGAUCCUGUUAUGGACUACUGUGGUUCAUGGAUUAAGAGAAAUCACCAUUCAAGUCUUCCUUGUACGAGUAUUCCUGGUGCGUCUGAUAACGCAAACAAGCAAGAAGCUGAUGGAUUGAAGGUAAUAUGUGAUUCAGUAGCUCUUGAGUGCGACAUGGAUUUCCCACCUGGAUUUGGGCCAACAUUGGAGUGUGCAAGCCCCGUCUCUCCGCCGCUGUUAGCCAUUAGUUCUUGCAAUGACAAAAAUAGUUGGUGGCGUGAAUCAAGUUCCACCAUGUAUUUUGACCCCUCAUCAGGAGUCCAGGUAAUGCUGGCGAAUGAACUAUACGUGGCAGCAAAGGAAACUUUGUUUCACCAUUUCAGGGAGGUUAUUGCAGAGGAGAUAACAAACUGGUUGUGCUUUGGACUUGAAGACAUCACUGAACAAGAACUAAUUCGUACUCCUGUUCAUGCACCGGACUCGCCUAGUUCUGCUGCAAUGGACAUUCUUGAAACACCCCCCAUUCCUCCUGAAAUGGCUCAAGAUAAAUCAUUGGAUAUUGCUAAAAUGACUACAGUUGCAAUAACCAGUCCGGCUGAAAUGGCUCUAGGUGCAAUGACCAGUCCGGCUGAAAUGGCUCUAGAUGCAAUAACCAGUCCGGCUGAAAUGGCUGUAGAUGCAAUAACCAGUCCGGCUGAAAUGGCUGUAGAUGAAGUGUUGGUUACCGCUGAAAUAGCUACUGAUACUGUACCCAGUCCUGCUGACAUGGUGGCAGGCGCAACAUCAUCUGUAUCUGAUGUGGCAACAGAUAAAAUGCUCACUUCUCAUGUGGAGCAUCAAUCCCCUUCUUCAUCUUAUGCUAGUAUAUUUGAAAAGCUGGAUGUAUCUGAGGCAGCUGAAUCGGAUGAGAGUUUUGAUGAGGUGCCUCCUGGUGUGGAGACUGGCUCAGCUUCUGUGCUGGUCAUGGACAAAAACAAAUACCGACCUUCAAAAUCAAUUAACUCUAUGCCCGGAAUAUCUAGACAUAUCAGCGUGGCUAUCUGCAGGCAGACACUGCAUACGAAUGUUAUAGAAGAGUGGGCAUCUCUCCUGUCAGAUACUAUCAGCGAGUGCCUUGAUUCAUGGUAUACCAAGCAGACUUUUGUGCCUAAAAACAUCGACGAAUCAUUGAGACCUAAUAAAGAAUAUGCGUACUACAAAAAGAGAAAGUUAAGGAACAACUGUGAAGCAGUGUCAUCCAAAAAAGCAGUGGGAACUCCAACGGAUGAGCAGCUUUCCAAGCCUCUACGCGAGCUUGUUGAGCGCAAGGUUCAUCUUAAAAAUGUCCAGGAACCAAGGAAGGCCGGGAAGUCGAAAAAGUCCUCCAAGAGUCGUACCAAAACUCUUGAUAAUGUUGUAAACAUUUUGAAUAUCGAACAAGGCUUGAAGCGGCUUUCCAAUGAUGUGCCAAAGACCUCCAAGAGUCGUACCAAAACUCUUGCUAAUGCUGUAAACCCUUUGAAUAUCAAACAAGGCUUGAAGCUUCUUCCCAAUGAUGUGCCAAAGGCCUCCAAGAGUCGUACCAAAACUCUUGAUAAUGCUGUAAACCCUUUGAAUAUCAAACAAGGCUUGAAGCGGCUUUCCAAUGAUGUGCCAAAAGCCUCCAAGAGUCGUACCAAAACUCUUGAUAAUGCUGUAAACCCUACGAAUAUUGAACAAGGCUUGAAGCGGCUUUCCAGUGAUGUGCCAAAGACCUCCAAGAGUCGUACCAAAACUCUUGAUAAUGUUGUAAACCCUUUGAAUAUCGAACAAGACUUGAAGCGGCUUUCCAAUGAUGUGCCAAAGAGACAAAGGACUUCUCAUCUUACUAGGACGCCUCUGGUUGAUAAUGAGGUUCCUUUUGAGAACAUUAGUGUGCCCACAAAGCUCGCAAAGAAAAGAAAGAAUAAGAACAUGUCUACUGACUCCAGUCAGAAGGCAAAGCCAUUGAUUUUGUGUCCAGAGUCAGAUGGCUGUGCAAGAGCUUCCUCCAAUGGGUGGGAGUGGCGUAAUUGGGCACGCACCGCCACUCCAUCAGAAAGGACUCGUGUGAGAGGGUACCAUGUUCGGAGUAUUCUUUCAACUUCAGCUAAUAAUGUGUGGAAAAAUCCGCAAGUUAAAGGUACAUCUGCGCGAACAAAUCGCGUAAAGUUACGAAACCUGUUAGCUGCUUCUGAAGGCACUGAGCUACUGAAAAUUACCCAAUCGAAGGCAAGGAAGAAGCGGUUACGUUUUCAAAGGAGCAAGAUCCAUGAAUGGGGUCUGGUGGCCCUUGAGUCAAUUGAUGCAGAAGAUUUCGUUAUUGAAUAUGUUGGUGAACUGAUUCGCCGUCCGGUCUCAGACAUACGUGAGGAUCAAUAUGAGAAGAGUGGAAUUGGAAGCAGUUACCUUUUUCGCUUGGACGAUGAUUAUGUGGUUGAUGCUACUAAGCGUGGUGGUUUAGCAAGAUUUAUCAACCAUUCGUGUGAGCCGAAUUGUUAUACAAAAGUAAUUACUGUUGAGGGCCACAAGAAGAUUUUCAUUUACGCAAAGAGGCGUAUAUAUGCUGGCGAAGAAUUGACGUACAAUUACAAAUUUCCAUUGGAGGAAAAGAAGAUACCAUGCCACUGUGGUUCCCAAAGGUGCCGUGGAUCAAUGAACUAA
rnacentral:rRNA from 1 species